GUCCCACCCAACCUGUGGGUUGGAAACUCCCCUUACCCGACAAACAGAGGUCUCGGACAGCAGAGAAAUUGCUGGUGGCAGCAGUGCUGACAUGGGCAACAUCAAAGUGCCUAAUGGAUGGAUCAACAACCACUGAAGAGAGGGCCAGGGACUGCCACGAGUCCAGAGACACUAGGAGAGAAGGCAACGGACAGUCACAUGCAGUUGUCACCUGGACAACUUACUAAAAUCACCAUCAAUGAAACUCACAGACAUGGGUGAGACAAAACUGGUUCAAGAUACUCUAUCCUUUUAGUGGGGUAUGGGUCCCCUUUACUGACCCUGAGUGGCCACCUAGACUGGUUUGUCUAAAGAUUUGACUAGAAGAUUCCUAGUUCUCUGCCUCAACACUCCAGGCUCCCUUGACACUACUUUCCUUAAAAAAAAAAAAAAAAGAACUAAAUUAGACAUAUUUCUAAUAAAUACCUCAUUAAUAUAUGCCUAUGCCUUUAAUUGUCUUUAAUCCCAUCAUAAAAUUAUAAAUUCAAGUCCUAUUUUUAUAGUCCAAAAUUAUAAAUUAAAGUUCUAUCCUUGUCUAAAAUUAUAAGUUCGAGUUCCGUCCUAAAACAAAUCCUGAUCAGGGUCAAGUCCCAAAUAUAAUUUAGACUUGAGUUCUCCAAAAAUGAAGCUAAUACUAAAAACCUACCUCCACUAAAAUACUCAGUCUGGUCUAAUUCUAGUUUUUGUUUAUCUGGCUGGCUAUAUUUUUGGUCUGUGUAACAAUAUCUGGCCCAAGAAAAAUUAAAGACUUUAACGGGCACAAAAAAAGCCUUGUAAAAAAUCCCCAAAC
rnacentral:lncRNA from 10 species